GUGUAUGUGUGUGUGUAUGUAUAUAUGGAUCUUGAUUGUUUAAUAUAGAUAAGCCAUGGAUCUAAUUAUAUCUACCUAACUAGAUUACCUAAUAAGGCAAAUUAGGUUGUGGAUUGGCUACAAUAAUGGCGUCCUAGUGUAUAAGGCUUCCGCCAUUGCAACUUUUAAGGAGGAUUAGAUAUAUGCAAUUUUACCUAUGUAUAUGGAGGCUGUUUUUGUAUUUCAAAUUUGUGAUACCU
rnacentral:lncRNA from 1 species